CCUAAUCCCAGACCUCCGACUUCCGUGACAUAGAGGUCAGAGACAAAGUCCACUUGGAUGGAAGUGGGAGCAGAAUGAGAGGGGCCAUUUUGAUUCUGUGGUUGAAGAAAAUAGCUGAUCUGACGCUGUCUGGGAGCCGGUUCGGCCAGGGUCUAAGGAUAAUUCUGAGGCUAUGAUGGGCAUGAUUCCCAUAGAAGACCUGAGAUUUCUGCACUCUGAGCAAUAUCAAAUGCCACUGGAUUUGUUCUUGCCCUAGAGGAUGGCGAAAGGGCUCCUUGUGACCUAUGUCCUUUGGGCUGUAGGGGGCCCUGCUGGGCUUCACCACCUAUACUUGGGAAGGGACAGUCAUGCCCUGCUCUGGAUGCUUACCCUGGGGGGAGGUGGGCUGGGCUGGCUCUGGGAAUUCUGGAAUCUCCCAAACUUUGUAGCUCAAGCCAACAGAGCCCAGGGACAGAAACAGAGCUCAAGAGAGGGGAUACCCCCACUGAAUCCCAUUCGCUUUUUUGCCCAGAUGGUAGUGGGCAUAUAUUUUGGCCUUGUGGCUCUGAUUAGCUUUUCUUCCAUGGCCAACUUCUACAUUGUGGGCCUCCCACUGGCAGUUGGCUUAGGUGUCUUGCUGGUGGCUACUGUUGGCAACCAAACCUCAGACUUUAAGAACACUCUAGGAGCAGCAUUUCUUACUUCCCCUAUAUUCUAUGGCCGCCCCAUAGCCAUCCUGCCCAUCAGCUUGGCUGCCAGCAUCACAGCCCAGAAACAUCGUCGCUACAAACCUUCAGUGGAGUCAGAGACACUCAGUGUGCGGCUCUACAGGCUCGGUUUGGCUUACCUUGCUUUCACAGGCCCACUGGCAUACAGUACCCUGUGGAACACAGCUGCCACUCUCAGUUAUGUGGCAGAAACACUUGGCUCCUUCUUAAAUUGGUUCAGCUUUUUCCCCCUUCUUGGCCGCCUUAUGGAGUCUGUCCUCCUUCUGCCUUGCCAAAUCUGGUGGCUAUUAGUUGGGGAUCCAGGUAUCAACAACUGCUACUUCCAGGAGUGGGAGAAGUUCUAUGAGUUUGUUCACAGUUUUCAGGAUGAGAAGCGCCAGCUGGCUUACCAGGUUUUGGGCCUCUCAGAUGGGGCAACAAAUGAAGAAAUACAUCGUAGUUACCGGGAGCUAGUGAAGGUCUGGCAUCCCGACCACAACCAGCACCAAAGAGAGGAGGCCCAAAGGCAUUUCCUGGAAAUCCAGGCUGCAUAUGAAUUUCUGACUCAGACCAAGAAGCCCAGAGGAUCCCAGAGGUGAAAAUCAACUUUCUUGGAGAAUGGAGUCUUCACAGCAGAGCGGGGCAGCUUAUCCUAAGUCUUCUUUUGCCCAUCUGAGACCCAGAACAAUGGAGUCUGCCAACCAUGGUCUGAACCUCUGAGACAGUGCUGGGAAUCCAACCCAGGGCUUCCUGCAUACUAGUCAAGCAUUCUACCUCUGACAUAAUACUCAACCCCAUGUUUUUAAAAAUUUUAAUUGCGUUCCUAUUUGUCACUAUCUUACCUGUUUUGUUAAUCCUUGCUUUUUAGAAACCUUAACCUAUUGUAAAAAGCAUUGUAGAUAUUUUCCCCCAGUCUAAGUCUGGUCUUUUGACUUUGCUCUGGGGAAUCAAAAUUGGCAUUAGGAUUGGAAUCAGUUUUCAUGGGAUUUUCCUGGCUGUGUGAUUUGACUUCCUUUAGCCACUCAGAGCCUUAAUUUCCUCUAAAACUGACCUACAUCCCCAACUUAAAAAAAAAAAAUUAUCUUUUUUUCUUGGAGGUGCUUAACCAGUGAGUCAGUCACAUCUCCAGCCCUUUUAAUUUUAUAUUUUGAACAGGUUUUCGCCAAAUUGCUAAGACUGUUCUUGAACUCAUGCUCCUAGGACCUGCCUCAGCCUCUGGAAAUACUGGGAUUACAGGCGAGAGCCACCCCACCUGCCUUAAUUUUUUGUCUUUUGAGACAGGGUUUUGCUAAAACACUGAGAGUCUCACUAAAUUGCUGAGGCUAGCCUCAAAUUUGCAAUCUUCUUGCCUCAGUGUUAGAAAUAAAGAGGUGCCGAAAACAUGUUCUCGAAAGAGGUUGGGCAAGGUUGACCUUUACUCUGGCAGAGGGCAUGUUACUGGAACCUGGCUAGCAAGCGCACCUGGGCAGCAGGUGGUCUGCUUGUAUCUAGAACCUACUGCAGCGCUGCCCUUCACUUUAAUUGGAGGAGUUUGAGGUUACAAUCUACGAGAUUGGCUAAUUUUAGAAUUAGGGCGGGCAAAAGGGAAGGGCUACAAUUGGAUCCAAUUAAGACAAUACUAGAUUUUGAAAAUGAACCAGCAGACUUUCUAUUUCAGCCUCUCAAAUUGCUGAGAUUACAGAUGUGCGCCAUCAUGACAGAUGAUGUCAUGAGCUUUCAAAGAAGAGUAUAAAACAAUCAAAUAUGACUGGGUGUUCCCUUGAGAAACCAGCCUCUACCUCAGAGCAAAGCCUGUCCAAGAAAGAGGGCAUGACCCUUGUCCUUGGAAAGACCCACAGAGCACUCCUAGGCAUAUACCCACCCUGCUGAAUUGUUCAUCUACAAAUAGCAGGAGCCAGGUGUCUCUGACUCAGUCAGGUUAGGUGAGGACCCAUAGCAACCCCCGAGCAACCACCAAUCAGCAUGAGACAGGGAAAAUACCUGGGAUGCCAGAUGACCCUCCCAGUAGUUUAUGGUGGUUGAUAACGUGUUGGGAAACCACGUAGUUCAGCAUGUACACCCCUCGUGGCUUAAACCAAUCAGUUCAAACGAAUCCCCCUCUUGUACUAACCAAUCACCCCUACCCAACUUGUUCCCGCCAUUGAAUGUGCUAAUCAAUGUUAAGAGUUGUUGUUUGAUUUUCCUGCGGUAUGGAAUGAUUUGCUGUGUGAUGUUGUGACGCAUAGAGUAUCCCCCCAAAACCUAUAAAAUCCCACUGAAUGAAGGACCAGGACUCACUCCCUGGGACUCACUCCCUGGGACUGCUGCGUCAGGAACGGUUGUGAGUCCAGGCUCGAGCUUGCAAUAAAGACUCUUGUGUGAUUGCAUCGGAUUCGGCUCCUGGAAGUGUUGGGGUCCCACGAAUCUGGCAUAACACUAUGUUGUAUGUGAAGUCCCUGCCUUCCCCAAAGAGUGUAUAAAACUGCUGCAAACCCUGGGCUUGGUGCCUUUCAGCAUCACCAGUUGCUGUGUGCACACGGAGGACCGAGCUAGCUUGCAAUAAACACCUCUUUGCUGCUUUCGUGGA